AUCUGUGAGCAGAAGUUUGUCUCCUGAUAAAUCGCCGAGUUGGCAGCCAGGCAGACAUUUAGAAAGUUUUAUUGUCUUCACCCGGGUGAUAGCUAAGAGCUGUUUGUGAUGAGUCAGAGCCUCCCUUCCAGCUGCGGCCGUGGGACUGAGUCCACUGUGCCAGGCCCUGGCCACCCUGGAGCGGAGGAGAGACCCUGCCCGGGCUGUGGGGAGCAGGACGCUGGAGAUGACUCACUCUGCUUUUCUAACAACAAUGACAAGAAAAACGGUUUGUUCUAAACCUCAUACUUCCUGAAUGUGUCACUUGGGGAAAUACAGCUAGCUGAUUGCAAACCCCAGUGAAGAGUCUCCGUGAAGGGUCGUGGCAGGAGAGAUAAAGACUCGUUGACUAGUGAACAGAGAAAGAGCUGGAGCGUCAUUCUGGCAUCCACAGUGCCAGGGAUCGAACCCAGGACCUCACCACGCAAGUCCUGCACUCUGCCGCUGUGUCCCCUCCCCGGCCACCCAGCUCAUCAGCCCUCAGCCCUGCCCGUCUGAAUACAACCCAGCGACUCAGCAGAGAGGGUGGAAAGUUGCCCACCCGGGACCAGGAAAUGGGAACAGAAGUCUCCAGAACACCACUGAUGCCCCCUGGAGCCCUGAGCAGACUCCUUCCCCUGCCUCAGUUUACCCAUUCCCGCAGCAAGAGGCUGAUCAGCCAAGAGAGUCACAUUCCAAGCUUUCUGCUCUUUCCACACAAACGCCGGGGAAUCCCGCUGGGGGAGUGAGACUCGCCCGGGAGGGGCCUGGGGCCUGAUGCCCAGGCACAGGCUCAGCAGGCCAGAGCUCCCCCAUCCUGUACUGGGGCCCCACCUCUCCACAGCCCUGGCAGGGAUGCCAGCGCUAGAGCCAAACCUUGGGGGAGAAUCAUAAAACGGUCACCAUCUGGGGGAGGCGGUCUGUACAUUCCAGAAACAGCCCCCAGCGGGUGAGUCACUGUUUCCACGUGGCAUUUCUAGAGGGGCCUCCCGGCAGGGCGGACUCAACUUCCUGUGAGGCAGUGGGACCCUCCCUUUGCCCUCUGCCACAGCCUUCCUCCCAGAUGUCCGUUUGCUUCCACACCCCUGGCCAUGGGGCCCAUGGAAAACACGUCUGUGUCCGCCUGGCCUUCCGUCCUGCUGCUGGGGCGCCCUCCCCACUCCGGGCUACUUCUCUGGGGCAGCAGAGGGCAGGCAGCACUGGGGCAGGGCCCCACGGCAGUUCAAGGAGAGUAAGGUGGCUCGGGGUGAGUUCCAGGACACACCUGCCCCUGAGGCCCUGGGUUCGAGCCCAGGGGCUGCAUGUGCUGUCGGGGCCGGCGAGGGGGUUCACUGGUCAUGCACCUGAACUGCUGUUUGAGCCCGGCCACCACCACCACACUGGGGGAACCUCUCCCCACCCCCUCUGCCCCCUUCAUAAAUAGAUAAAUAAAUAAACCUUAGGCUCCAGGGUUCUCUCGGGGGCUUGCUCCCACCACUACGAAUCCACUGCUCCUGGUGGCCAUUGUUUCCAUUUUAUUGGACGGAUAGAAACUGAGAGGGAAGAGGGAGGGAGGGAGAGAGAGAGACCUGCAGACUUGCUUCACUGCUUGUGAAGCUUCCCCUGCAGGUAGGGAGCCAGGAGUUUGAACCCGGAUCCUUGAGUGGGUGCUUGUGCUUAGUUCUGUGUGUGCUUGACGCAGUAGUGGCACACCUGUGCCCUAAACAAGCCUUUAGAGAGAGAAAGGAAAGCAACGAGAGAUUGUUUCUAAAAGCAUCAAACCGGUGCCGGGUGGUAGGUAGCACAGCCGGUUAAGCACACGUGGCUCGAAGCACAAGGACCAGCGUAAGGAUCCCGGUUCGAGCCCCCGGCUCCCCACCUGCAGGGGAGUCGCUUCACAGGCGGUGAAGCAGGUCUGCAGGUGUCUGUCUUUCUGC